GUCACCUACGGGAGGCAGCAGUGAGGAAUAUUGGUCAAUGGCCGGAAGGCUGAACCAGCCAAGCCGCGUGAAGGACGAAGGUGCCAAGCAUUGUAAACUUCUUUUGUCAAGGGACAAAAUCAGGCUCGAGAGCCUGACCGAUGGUACUUGAACAAAAAGCAUCGGCUAACUCCGUGCCAGCAGCCGCGGUAAUACGGAGGAUGCGAGCGUUAUCCGGUUUUAUUGGGUUUAACGUGUGCGUAGGCGGACUGUUAAGUCAGCGGU
rnacentral:rRNA from 1 species